CGCCACCUCAGUUGAUUGACAGGUCUCUGCACGUCAAUGUUAAAGUAGCGUCUGUGGAAAGACAAACACGGGAGGCAGAAUAAACGUCUUUCAAAACACGAAUGGAUCGUGAGGACCUACUUUAACUACAUCACUCUGAAAUGAGAACUGGCCAGCCUUGUGGACUGAGAGUCAUCAACAGGCAUCCUUGGUUAGAGUGGAGGGACAGAAAGUUCAUUCCUGAGUGACGGAGUCUAGUUCCGGAGGUGGAGUAGCUGUGACAGAGACACCACUCAUCCUAUUACAAGACACUGAACCGUCAACAUGAAGUCGAAGCUGCUAUUUAAGGUGAAGAAGUGACUUAAUGUUGCAUUAAUACCUUACAGACUUAUCAUUUGAACCCCCCACCCCACCCCACUUGUUUAGACCCACUGUGCCCUGACUAGAAGUCUCUCUGCAUUAUGCCAGCAAGUAAUUGGAAUCAGUUAAUUGUAAAUGUCGUAGCAAAUGUUCGAGCUCCAAGACGCUGAGCUAAUGUGGUCUACAUGGCGAAUAUUACAACUGCUUAAUGUCAGCAUGUGUGUAUCGUCAUUGUGAGGAUGUGAGGAGGCUGAUGCAGGCGUUCGGUAAAGAAAGGUAGAUGGAAUGUAAAGUGGAUAUAUAAGUGUGUGUGUAUAUAUAAGUAACUAGUGCAUUGCCUGUAGGAAGCAUGUAUUCCUAUAGAAAAGUGGGAGGUUAAGUAGCUUUUUCAUGGAUGGCCAAAUGAGGUUGUGUUUAAAGGUGGG